UACGUAGGGGGCGAGCGUUGUCCGGAUUUAUUGGGCGUAAAGAGCGUGUAGGCGGCCAGGUAGGUCUGCUGUGAAAACUCGAGGCUCAACCUCGAGACGUCGGCGGAAACCAUCUGGCUAGAGUCCGGAAGAGGAGAGUGGAAUUCCUGGUGUAGCGGUGAAAUGCGCAGAUAUCAGGAAGAACACCCGUGGCGAAGGCAAUCCCCUGGACCUGUACUGACGCUCAUGCACGAAAGCGUGGGGAGCAAACAGG
rnacentral:rRNA from 1 species